AUUGAACGCUGGCGGCAGGCUUAACACAUGCAAGUCGAGCGAGCGGCGGACGGGUGAGUAAUGUCUGGGAAACUGCCUGAAGGAGGGGGAUAACUACUGGAAACGGUAGCUAAUACCGCAUACCAGCAGAUGACCACAGAUGGGAUUAGCUAGUAGGUGGGGUAAUGGCUCACCUAGGCGACAAUCCCUAGCUGGUCUGAGAGGAUGACCAGCAACACUGGAAAUGCGACAUGGUCCAGGCUCCUACGGAAGGCAGCAGUGGGGACUCUUGCACAAGGGGCGCAAGCCUGAUGCAGCCAUGCCGCGUGUAUGAAGCAGGCCCUAGGGGUGUAAAGUACUUUCAGUCGGGAGGCGUUACCGACAGAAGAAGCACCGGCUAACACCGUGCCAGCAGCCGCGGUAAUAC
rnacentral:rRNA from 1 species